UGGGCCUGGUGGCCCAUGCUGGGCUGGGGCCUGGGGCUGAUGUCCCACGCCAUCAACCUGUUCCAGCCGUUCAGGCUGCUCGGGCCUGA
rnacentral:tRNA from 1 species